GUAGGUGAACCUGCGGAAGGAUCAUUAAUGAAUUUUUCUAGCGGACCGGGUCUCGGCUCGGCUUCGCGAAAGAUUUUUGUAUUUAAAACUUUUCCACCCGUGAAAAAAAAAAAAUUGUAAAUUGUAAAAUAAAAAAAAAGAUCACUUUCAACAACGGAUCUCUUGGCUCUC
rnacentral:misc_RNA from 1 species